rnacentral:lncRNA from 1 species
UAUUAAGCAUUAAGUUGUAAAGGUUAUUUUAGUCUUUUUUAUGUGUUUUUCCUAAAAUUUAACCAUAUUUAAUAACUUUCUUAAUAUAUAUGUAAGAACUUUAAACAACGGAUAUUAUGGAACGGAUGGAGUAUUAUGUAAUAUUAUAGUAGUACAUGUGAUUUUGAGUUUUUUUAGUUUCUACUUAUUAUGAGUUGCGUAUUAAUUCAUCUUUUUAUUUAUUUUGUUUAUUAAUUUUUAUUCUUUAGGAUAAGCCAAAGAUGGGGACAAUGGAAAGCUUAAAGUUUUUGGUGUCGUCGAGAUAUAUUAGAGAUCUUGCCACUUUGGUCGUCGCAUAUGGUAUUAGCAUUAACCUCGUCGAGGUUACAUGGAAAUCGAAGCUCAAAGCUCAGGUAAAAACUAUAAAAAAAUACGCUUUUGCCCUUAUUAUUAUUUUUUCAAAUUACGCCUUUACCCUUAUUGUGGCUAAAAAAGAAAGAAGAAAAAAAGCUACGCUUUUACCCUUAUUAUUUUUUUGCCAUUUUUUUUAACUCCUCGACAUUUAAAAAAUGGUGUAGUUCCCAACGCCGAAUGAAUAUUCAUCGUUCAUGGGCGAUUUUUCGACCGCCACCGGAAUAGCAACCUUCACAAUGAUGCUUUUGAGCCAAUGGAUCUUUAGCAAGUACGGCUGGGGAGUGGCGGCAAAGAUUACUCCGACGGUGUUGCUUCUCACCGGAGUUGGCUUCUUCUCCCUCCUCCUAUUCGGCGGUCCUUUGGGUCCCGCUCUUGCUAAUUUCGGGAUGACCCCUCUUUUAGCGGCUGUCUAUGUUGGAGCCAUGCAGAAUAUUUUUAGCAAGAGCGCGAAAUACAGCUUAUUCGAUCCGUGUAAGGAAAUGGCUUACAUUCCUUUGGACGAGGAUACCAAGGUUCGUCACUUUAAACCUUCACUAUUAACCUUUUCUUUUUUUUCAACUUAUUUAUUUCGAUCCGAAAUUUUGCAUCAAAUAUCAUCCGCAAAAUGAUAAUGUAAAAUUAAGUAAAUAAAUUAAUUCAUUAUCAUAUGUUGUGUAUACUAGGCCAUCGUUUGGUUGCCACGAUGAAAUUAGCCAAAAAUAAAAUAAUUUGCAAUUCUAUUUGGGAUAAUUUUAUAUUUCGAAAAGGGGUCGAAUACACAAUUCCCAAAUAAGACAAUAUUACCGAUUAAGGGGUAAGUUUUCGGUAAUCUUGAAAAUUUAUUGAACUAACCAACAGUAAAUUAGUCUCGAUUGUUUACUUAAUCAUGACAUAUUUUCUCAACCAAACAAGAAAUUUUCCAUGUUUAGAAGUUGUUCGAUGGCUAUUUCUUACAUGAGAUUUUUAUUUUAAUUUUUUUGAUCUUUUUUAGGUUAAAGGGAAAGCGGCGAUUGACGUUGUGUGCAAUCCGCUCGGGAAAUCCGGAGGUGCAUUAAUACAGCAAUUCAUGAUUCUAACAUUCGGAUCCCUAGCGAAUUCGACCCCCUACUUAGGUGGCAUUCUUCUCGUAAUAGUUCUUGCAUGGCUAGGUGCCGCCAAGUCAUUGGACGGCCAAUUCACCGCUUUGAGACAAGAAGAAGAGCUCGAGAAGGAGAUGGAAAAAGCUGCCGUGAAAAUACCCGUUGUCUCUUCGGACGAAAACGGUUCAAACGGAUCUCUUUUAAGCGGGUCGACCCUGAACCCGUCAGAUGCUUCUUCAUCUGAACCCUCGUCAUAUCCUAAGAAUGCUUGAUUAUUAUUAUUAUUAUUAUUCCUUGAUAGAUUUUCUUUUUUAGGCAUAGAAAUAAGUAGAACUGAAAUAC